GCAGUGUGCUAGAUGAUCGCUUGCCGGGGAGAGCCUGGCAAGAGGAAAGUCCGGGCAGCAUAGAACGGGACAGUCGCUAACGGCGACCGGGGGUGACCCUAGGGAAAGUGCCACAGAAACGAUACCGCCUCGUCAAAGAGUGUUCGCCAGGUGCAAGCUCGGUGGAUUACCGAGAGGUAAGGGUGAAAUGAGCGAGGUAAGAGCUCGCAGCACUAUAUGGUGACAUGUAGUGGAGGUAAACCCUGUCCGCUGCAAGGAGAACUACAGACAAUAGGUUGUUCGCCGUUUGUAGUCCACAAGAUCCGCUCGACUGUGUAGGCAACUGCAUGGCUAGAUAGAUGAUCGUCCUCGACAGAACCCGGCUUAUAGGCAGGCUGCCCAA
rnacentral:RNase_P_RNA from 1 species